rnacentral:tRNA from 1 species
GCCUGGGUGGCUCAGUCAAUUAAGCAUCUGACUUUGGCUCAGGUCAUGAUUUCGAGGUUCAUGAGUUCAAGUCUCACAUCAGGCU